UCGAAGUCAUCAUGGUACGUCUCUCUCUCUCUCUCAGAUCUUCUAACCUAUCUGUCCUCUCUGACCGUAUGAGGGUAUAUACUUCCAUCUAUAUAUUGUUAAUUCAUUUUGCCAUUUCAUAUCUGAAGUUCAAUGUUCUAUUCCUGGGCAGUUGUUUAAAUGUUAGAUAUAAGUAUCAUGUAGUGAAUAUAUGUUUGGUGUCAGUAACAUGUUAUACUUUGACUCUAGAUCUUUGAUAUUUUUUAAAUGGUAGAUCGGUACCAUUAACCAAUCUACCAUUGAAACAAUAUCAGAAGAGGUAAUGUGGUAUUAUGUCUAUCUUUUGAAUUGCUUUUUUAGCCUAUCAGCAGCAUUUGAAUUGCACAUCGGCAUUUUUUCUAAUUUUUGUGUAAAGCCCAACAAAUCAUCUAAACCCAUAUAUUUUGUUCAUCAUUUCAUUUUCUUUUGGUCUGUUAAUUUGUAAGUUAAGCCCCAACACUUUUACAUCCAAAUUGGGUUUUUGGCCUCUUCCAUAACCUAUGUUCAUUUAGUGCAUAAUAUGUUAUUUAUAAUUAAUAAAAAUUAAAGAUAAAGAAAAAAGAAAUUUACAUAAUGUUAACAUAUAAUUUAUUUUCAUGGUAAUAAAUAAAUAAUUAAAAAUAAAAAUAUGUAAAAUAAAUUAAAUUUAAAAUACUAAAACCAAUACUAUGAGAAUUUUAUUAGUAAUAAUAGUAUGAUUCAAACUCUAAACAACAACAAACUUUUAAAUAAUCAUACUUUGGAAUUUUAAAUUUGGUAAUGUGUUUUAAAAUUUAAGUAAAUUUUAAAAGUAUGGUAGAAUAAUUCAAAGAGGAAAAAUAAAUUUUAAAGAGAAACAUUAGUUCUAAAAAAUAUAUUACAUAUUUUUACUUUUACAUAUUUUUUAUUUAUUAAAUUUAAACUAAAAACAAAAGAUUACUAAACUCAAUUUAAAAUACUCUAAGACGAAAAUAUUUGAAAUGUCACACUUUAUUCCGUGAAAUUCUAUUAAGAAUAUAUAAAUUAUAAAAACAUUAUUAUCCAUAUUCUAAAAUAAUAAAUAAUUAAUUAUCACAUUAUUCAUGAGUUUUACAAUAAAAUAUAGAGAAAGUGAUAUGUAAGCCGUAAACUGAUAUGUAAUUUGUGUAGCAUAUCUCAAAAAGAAAGUUUAUUUAUUCUCAAGUAGUAUUAUACCUUUCUAACAUAAUCUAAAAGAAAAACAAGUUUUAUAUCCCAUGAUUUGAAUCAAAUGCUUUUAACCCAAAAUGGACUAUUAUUAAGGAAGAAAUUGUUAUGAUAUGUCUUAAAAAGCAAUUCAUACUUCAAUAUAUAGUAUACUAGAGUUAAUAGAAGGUAGAAAUAAACUAGAUGUCGAGAGGUAACGAGUGUAUUAUAGAAGAUCACAAAAGAAUUAGUAGUUAAAAGCGAUUGAAUAUAAAUGAAUAUAACUUAAAAAGAUAAUGUAGAUGACUAAAUUUUGAAAUAUUUGAGAUCUCAUUUAUUGUGUGAAAUGAAGAAACUCAAGACAUACUACUAGAUUCAAAUUCGGGCAUAACCGUUAGUUAUAGAAAUGAGAUAAGAUAGACAAAUCCAUGACUUGGUCGAGAGUUCUCUUUUACCACAUUACACUUUUUCCGAUGGAUAAAGCAAGUUCGGUAAACCUAUCCUAGCGACAUGAUAUUAUAUAUGUAUCUUUACACUUAAUGAUGUAUAUGAGGCUCGGUAAAUUUGUGUUAUAUAUAGAGGUGUUAUAUUUGUAUCAACAUCAAAUCAUAAAGGAUAUCUACAAUUAGGAUCAUGAGCUGGUUGUUGAUGCCAUUUACUCUUCUCGCAAAUCUAUUCAAGUAAUUUUUGUUAUCAUGUAAUAAUAUUAAAACAUUUAUUUGUCAAGAAAACACUAUCGUCAACAAUAUAUAUGUUGUAUAUCGCUUAAAAAAUUUAGUUUAGUGUUUAAUUAUAUAGCUUUUAUCUUUUAAAAUUUGAAUGAUUAUAGUUGUGCUCACGGAUUAAUAUUGAUAGAAGAGGUUUUAAAUUAAAAUCCUGCGCGUUAAAGAUUAAUAUUGAUAGAAGAGGUUUUAAAUUAACCCAAUUUAGGCACUACAUGGGCCACUUCAGCAAUGGUUGUUGAUGGUAAGAAACGGAUGACAAAUGGGUGAUCUGUAAUCUUGUAAAGGUUAGUGCACCUUCCCACUUCAAACCCAGCAACAGAAAAGAUUACACCUUCUUGUAAAACAUUCCGAAACUGGCUGGCACGUGCAGCUGGGAUGAAACAGUGAAUUACAGAGCACUGCAAAGAAAAUUUGUAAACGUUUCAAUCAUAAAAGUAAAAUAUAAUACAUAUGUAGAAAAUGGGUAAACGUUUCAGUCAUAAACAGCCUUUUAAUCAAAAAUAUAGUGGAACAUGCACUUGACUAUAUAUUUAAGUAACGAUUAAUAAGGGAGAAUUCAAAUGUAUAAGAAAACCAGAUAACUGAAAACAAAGUUUUUUGGAAUAUUUUUCCUAAACAUGUUAGAUUGGGUUAUUUUUUAAAAGGCAAACAGAUGGUUUUGAUGACCAAAUUAAACACAUGGAAAUGAUUUAGUAGGAUUUGAAAAUAUUACCUUUUCAUCAAGCAAUAGAGCAACUAUACCCAUGAAUUCUCCAUUUUUUAAAAUAUUUCGUGCAUCCCAAAAGCGUAGGAGUCGGCCAACUACUUGUUGAGAAGAACGUCCAAGUCGUAAAUCAUCAAAGGUGGAGUAAUCACUGGUGGCAGGAAUCGCAACAACAUCAAUGGCAGCCAUUUUGUGAAAGGUAUGAUGUGUUCAGACUUUGAGUUUUGGGAAUUGUAAGGUUGCAGCCGUUCAGCGUGAAGGUAAUUUAUAGGGAGUGAACUUAACAGGGGAAUUCUAUGGUAUACUGAUGAGGGGCGUAUUUAUAAAGCAUAAGUGGGGCUAAUAAAAACUGAAGAGUAACGUAUUUAUCUAGGAAGUCAGAGAAUGGUACUCAGCUAAGAUUAAAUGUUAGAGUUAAGUGACGAAAUUGCAGAGAGGAUUUGAUGAACCUUUUUGGGAGUGAUCUGUAACGCUUAAUCGCAUAAGCGAUGAUUCAAUCAUAGAGGUUUUGAGCUUCUGAGAAACUGAACAGGGAACGACGGGAGAAGAAGAAGAAACGACAAAGAAACGAAAGCGACAAAGAAGGAAAACCUAUUAAAGAAAUGGAGUCCAGGGAAAUUUAGAAGGCCUUAGUUUGUAAUUUUAGGCCCGAAUUUGAGGUAUUUGAGGGCCAAAACUUUGUGGCCAAUUAUAAACAUUAUUCACCCAAAAUAAUAUAAGCCCAAUAGUACAAGUUUUACAAAUUUUAGAAUAAAUGCUGACGUGGACACUCUAAUGGGAGAGAGAAGUCUCCUAUCUUAUAUAAUAAAGUAGGGUUCCUCCA
rnacentral:lncRNA from 1 species